rnacentral:rRNA from 1 species
GACGAACCGUGCGAACGUUGUUCGGAUUCACUGGGCUUAAAGGGCGCGUAGGCGGCUUGCCAAGUCAGGGGUGAAAUCUUUCGGCUCAACCGGAACGUGCCCCUGAUACUGGCGGGCUGGAGGGAGGUAGGGGCAGACGGAACUUCCGGUGGAGCGGUGAAAUGCGUAGAUAUCGGAAGGAACGCCGGUGGCGAAAGCGGUCUGCUGGACCUCUUCUGACGCUGAUGCGCGAAAGCCAGGGGAGCAAAGCGGG